CAUCAUUCUCACCGUCGAGUACG
rnacentral:snRNA from 1 species